ACGGUUCUGCCCCUCUCGUGACUGGUUACAUUCCAGUGGCCUUAAGCAAUUCCGAGGGAGCUGGCUCUGCAUGGAUCCUGGUUCAUGUACCUGGCGCCCACCUGUACAUACAGGUCCUCGGGAAUAUACAACUAAAACGGUUGUGGUGGUUCCGUC
rnacentral:other from 1 species